CCUUCUCUGACACCCUCAGGAAAGCUGUAGUCCUUCACUAUCAUACUCACUCUCAGUACCUGAUUUUAUUAUCAUCUUCAACUUAUCAGUACAUGGAAGGUUUAUUUAUUUACUUGUUAAUUUGCUGUCUUCUGCACUGGAAUGUAAACUCUUUCAGGUCAAAGAAUAUGUACAGUCUAUUCAAUGUUGAAUCCCCAGCACUUAGAAUAGAGACUGGCACACGGUCCUUUUCUCAUUUGAUAAGGCUGUCACAUUGAAAACAUGGAAUUGCAGAAUGUUCAAGGUAGAAGGAUCGUUAAAGAUAAUUUAGUCCAACUUGACCCAUAUGGCAUAGAGAUAUAUGCAGAUCUGCAU
rnacentral:lncRNA from 10 species